rnacentral:rRNA from 1 species
UACGUAGGGUGCGAGCGUUAAUCGGAAUUACUGGGCGUAAAGCGUGCGCAGGCGGUUUUGUAAGCCAGAUGUGAAAGCCCCGGGCUUAACCUGGGAAUGGCAUUUGGGACUGCAAGGCUGGAGUGUGGCAGAGGAGACUGGAAUUCCUGGUGUAGCAGUGAAAUGCGUAGAUAUCAGGAGGAAUACCGAUGGCGAAGGCAGGUCUCUGGGCUAACACCGACGCUCAUGCACGAAAGCGUGGGGAGCAAACAGG